GUUUACAAUCAGACUGCAUCUCAGCCCUGUCAAGAUGGAUCUCUAUAACAGGUGAUGAAUAGUUUUAUUUGGGGGAUAUAUUAACUUUUGCUAUUCGAGAAAGCUUUUAGAUUGGUUUGCCAGUUUGUACCCCAUCAAGUUGAGGCUAAUAGAUAUACAUUCACAACUCUGUACCUAUCAAAUAAUCAACUUUAUGUGUGACUUUGGGACUGAUUCAUACAACUACAUUUCCUUUCUCCACUCUAUAGCAGCCUUUUCUCUGUAUUUGAAAAAAAUAACCAAGAAGGAGAAGAUAAGGAACCAGGAAUAAGAUCUGGAUGAGUAUGGUGAGGAUCUAAGCUUUACAAGUGAGGGGCCGAGGAAGAUGGCUUUGUGGUUCAGCAUAGGAAUGAUAGGUGCUUCAUAUUAUUAUAUUCCUGUUCCAAAACGAAGAAGUCUUUGAGUUCUUUGCUCUCCUACUUUUAAGGCUUGCUGGGUUCUGGGUGAUGGUGGGUCUGGAAUGCUCUCUAGUGACAACAUAUCAGCCAGCUGCUCUGGCUCUCCCAUGAUUUCCAAACUUUUCCCCUCAUCUGCCUCUGAGCUGCUACCUCCCUCAACCCCGUGUUGUAUAUCUAUACUGUCUUCCUCUUCCUCCUCCCUGGAAGGGUCAGGUUGGAGAAGUGGUCUCCACCAUACUUGCUCUGCCCACUCCCUGACACUAUCACACUCAUUUAGCCCAUAUGAACUUGUUAUAAUUAUGACCAUCAAUGUAACAAGGGAAAACCACUCAGAGAAUUGUUCUUCAGCUUAUUUUGGAUAAGUAAUUUCCGAUCUCCCAAAAUUCUUUGGCAGAUUCAGAUACAUUUUUUGGGGGGGGGGGAUUAGAAUGCCUAGUUCCUGAAGUAAUGCACAAAUUGAAAUGUGGUUGUUCUAUGAAAUUCACAGUUCUUGUGAACUGUGGCUAUCCAGCAACAGAAAGAAACACGGAGAUGCAUAUAUCAGGAGAAAGCGAGUAUAUCACUGAAGGAACAAUAUAAAAAUGCAUUAGGGACAACUGAUGAUGAAAUUUACAUUAGGAGAAUUACACACUAAAAUACUGGCAAAUCACAAAAAAAUAAAAUAAAUGCAAACUAAUGUGGAACUGUGGCAAACAGAACCUAUGGGUGAUUAUUAAAAAUGUGAGAAACCAAAACGGUUUCAUCUCUCCGUAGCAUCAAGUAGAAUCUCCACAUUUGCUUCCAAAGACCAAACCAGUCUCCCAAAAAUUGUCACCCUGUUUACAGGCAGUGAAAUUGAUAAUACCACUUUGUUCAAUAUUCUUUGGGAGGAGGAGAAAUUCUCUGGCAGUUUCUUAGGAGCCAGGAUGCUCAUCUGGCAUUCAAAAGCUUUCUCUCCCCCCCCCUUUGGUGUUGUGAUGGCAAUGAUAUUGGCAGCAUAGCCAUCAUUUUCUCUCUACCCAUGCUCCAAUCCAAGCAUUGUUUGGAGGUAUUUCAGGUGGGGUAGGGUGGUGCAUGCCCCACAAAAAUGGUGGAAAAUAUGCAUUCAGCAAAAUUCCUCCCUUUUGGGGGAAAUGUUGGCUUAGUUCUAAUGGACUACAUAGCUGGGUUUGUCUGGUUUCUGAACUGCUGUGGCUCUCCCUGGUAUAUGUUCGGAGAGUUUACAGAUUCUGAUUUAUGGUAUGAAAUGUUUUUAUGAUACAAUAAUCUUUAUUGUCAUUGUCCCAUACAGAACAAUGAAAUUGAAAAAUCUACAUAAGACAUUAAAAACCCAACAAGCCUGCUAUCCCAGCUAUCCCAACCUGGUUAGCCCCUAAAAACUCUGAUGCCCCAUUUUUAAAUACAAUAUACUCCCAUACAGACUCCUUACAAUACGUUUAAAACCAAAAUCGCAUUUGGGUAGAAACUGUUUCUCAGGCGGCUAGUCCUAGUCUUUAUAACUCUGUACCUUCUUCCAUAAGGCAGAAGCUGAAAGAGAUCAUUUCUGGGGUGCGCACUAUCCUGUGCUAUCUCUGCAGCUUUCUUAUGGCACCUGGAAGCGUAGAUUUGAUCCAAGGUGGGAAGAGUGCACCCAAGUAUUCUCUCUGCAGUCUUUACAACCUUGGACAGCAUUGUUUUUUCCCUGACCGUGCAGCUCCCAAACCACACACACGGACCAUAAGUUAAUACACUCUCCAUAGUACAAUGGGAAAAUGCCAUCAACAGGUCCUUUGAGAGAUUGUUUUUCCAGGGGAUUAUCAGAAAAUAUAACCUCUGCUGUGCUCUCUUCAUCAGGUCUUAAUGAAAUGAAAUGAAAGCAGAGCUUUCCAAACUUUUCAUGCUAGCCACACACAUUUUAGACAUGCUUCAUUUUGUCACACAAUAAUUCAGUUUUACUAGUAAACCAGAGGUUCAACUAACUGCAUUCAAGCUCCAGGAGGAGAACGGGGAGCGUUCAUGCAACAUGCCUGUGCACUGCAGCCAAGACACUAACGUGUCAUGACACACAGUUGGGAAAGCUCUGCUGUCCAUUCUGAAAGUGGAGGUUGUGCAUUCUGCAAAGUGUUCUCCUGUGCACUUAUCUUUAAUUUAGCACUAGCACAACUCAGAGGUGAGGAUGGCCAAAUGCAAAGAGGGCAGGGAAGGUGUCACAUGCAAAAUUCCCCUCUUCUACACAGCCAUUAAAGAUCCAAGAGCCUUGCCCUCUUUGGCAUGUGCCCACCCUACCUGUGAUGUAAAAUAAGUGUUAUUCCCAUUUCACAGGUGUGGUGCUGAGUCCAAGGUGGCGACUUGCUCAAACCUGCUGGGGGAUGAGUGUUGCAUUUGAAUUCUGAUCGAGGCUUAGAAAUGCCAAUGUACGAUUCAUUUGAUUAUCUUAUCUUUGCUGAUUUUCAGCCUGCAGUUUUGAGUGGGUAUCAUCACAAAUAAAUGAUGUAUUCAGUUACUGAAAACCAGGAUAGGAGGGAUGCGGGAAAUGACAAAAGAUGAGCAGCUGUGAUAUAGCAUUGUUUGCUUUGCAGCUGACCAGCUGAGAUUUUGGACUGACAUGCUAAAAAUUUGGAUACUAUCAGCAUUGCUGUUCAGUUUCUAACUGUUGGCAAAGAUAAUGAUAUUCUAUGAUGCUGAGAGCUAGAUUCAAGGCUCCGAUACCUACAGUGUAAUCUAAACAUAUCAUACCCUCCAAGUGUCCCUAUUUUCCAGGGGCAGUCCUAGAAUUACAAAAGCUACCCCAGCUUCUGAUUUGAUCCCGAAGUGUCCCUGUUUCUCCCACCAGUGCCUCUGCCAAGCCCAGAGAGGAGGAUGAACUGGUGUUUGUCUCGUGUGGCAGCAGCAGUGAGGGAGCAUUCCAUUGCCUCUCCAUGACUGCUGCUGCCAAUCUCCUCCCUUGGGCAUUUCAAGGUGGCUGCUGAAGAGCAGACAAGGAAGAGGAGAGGCUGCCACCACAGAGGUCCAGCCCCACAUGACACACCUGCUCUGAGCCAGGAAGAAAGGGGGAGCAGAGUGGAGCGCAAUGAGCCU